AACUUUGUGCAGUGGCAGUAUUGUAGCCAGUGAGAUUUAUCCAGACACAAUUAUCACUAAUUGAAAACUUUUCCCAGUACCCCACCAUGAUGACUUGAAAUACAGUCAUCAUGUUGGCACUGGCAAUUUUUGAGAAUCUUUACGGAGA